rnacentral:rRNA from 1 species
UACGUAGGGUGCAAGCGUUGUCCGGAAUUAUUGGGCGUAAAGAGUUUGUAGGCGGUUUGUCGCGUCUGCUGUGAAAUUUCGGGGCUCAACCCCGAACUUGCAGUGGGUACGGGCAGACUAGAGUGUGGUAGGGGAGACUGGAAUUCCUGGUGUAGCGGUGAAAUGCGCAGAUAUCAGGAGGAACACCGAUGGCGAAGGCAGGUCUCUGGGCCAUAACUGACGCUGAGAAGCGAAAGCAUGGGGAGCGAACAGG